CCCAUAUAUUACUUAAUUAAAACAUUUUUAUACUUUUAGUAUUGGUGACAGAACAAUUAAUCAGCGCAAUA
rnacentral:tRNA from 1 species